rnacentral:misc_RNA from 1 species
UACGUAGGUCCCGAGCGUUGUCCGGAAUUACUGGGUGUAAAGGGUGCGCAGGCGGCCAUGUGCGUCAGAAGUGAAAUAUCACGGCUCAACCGUGAGGGUGCUUUUGAUACGGCGUGGCUUGAGUACGGGAGAGGAUGAUGGAAUUCCUGGUGUAGCAGUGAAAUGCGUAGAUAUCAGGAGGAACACCGGUGGCGAAGGCGGUCAUCUGGCCCGUAACUGACGCUCAGGCACGAAAGUGUGGGUAGCAAACAGG